GACGAACGCUGGCGGCGUGCUUAACACAUGCAAGUCGAACGGUGAAGCGCCUUCCUUUUUGGUGGGUGUGGAUGAGUGGCGAACGGGUGAGUAACACGUGAGUAACCUGCCCCCUUCUUCUGGAUAACCGCAUGAAAGUGUGGCUAAUACGGGAUAUUCUGGGUCUGUCGCAUGAUGGGUCUGGGAAAGAUAUUGUUUCGGUGGGGGAUGGGCUCGCGGCCUAUCAGCUUGUUGGUGGGGUGAUGGCCUACCAAGGCGGUGACGGGUAGCCGGCCUGGGAGGGUGGACGGUCACACUGGGACUGAGACACGGCCCGGACUGCUACGGGGGGCAGCAGUGGGGAAUAGUGCACAAUGGGCGCAAGCCUGAUGCAGCGACGCCGCGUGAGGGAUGGAGGCCUUCGGGUUGUGAACCUCUUUCGCCAGUGAAGCAGGCCUGCCUCGUUUGUGGGUGGGUUGACGGUAGCUGGAUAAGAAGCGCCGGCUAACUACGUG
rnacentral:rRNA from 1 species